GCUCCGGGCAGCUCGCGUCCUGACAAAGUUUCCCGUGCCCAUUUAUUAAGCAGGCGCCGAAUGGCUGCCGGAAAUGAAGACGCACUUUAAACUCCAGCCAUUCCCAACUCCGCUGCAGCCCCCUCCCCACGCGCUCUCCCCGGGGGCCUCGGCCCACAUUUAUCAGAAACUAAACCGGACUCGCGAAGCCCCAAACUUAUUGUGUAGGCUCCCGCGCCGGCGGAAUUCAAUCAAUAAACCCCGAACCCACGGCCGCG
rnacentral:lncRNA from 1 species